GGGAAACUGCCUGAUGGAGGGGGAUAACUACUGGAAACGGUAGCUAAUACCGCAUAACGUCGCAAGACCAAAGUGGGGGACCUUCGGGCCUCAUGCCAUCAGAUGUGCCCAGAUGGGAUUAGCUAGUAGGUGAGGUAAUGGCUCACCUAGGCGACGAUCCCUAGCUGGUCUGAGAGGAUGACCAGCCACACUGGAACUGAGACACGGUCCAGACUCCUACGGGAGGCAGCAGUGGGGAAUAUUGCACAAUGGGCGCAAGCCUGAUGCAGCCAUGCCGCGUGUAUGAAGAAGGCCUUCGGGUUGUAAAGU
rnacentral:rRNA from 1 species